AACGAACGCUGGCGGCGCGCUUAACACAUGCAAGUCGAACGCUCUGGUUUCGGCCAGGGAGUGGCGGACGGGUGAGUAACGCGUGGGAACCUGCCCUUGGGUUCGGGACAACCGCGGGAAACUGCGGCUAAGACCGGAUAUCCCCGUGAGGGGAAAGACUUGUCGCCUGAGGAUGGGCCCGCGUCGGAUUAGCUAGUCGGUGGGGUAACGGCUUACCGAGGCGACGAUCCGUAGCUGGUCUGAGAGGAUGGCCAGCCACACUGGGACUGAGACACGGCCCAGACUCCUACGGGAGGCAGCAGUGGGGAAUCUUGGACAAUGGGCGAAAGCCUGAUCCAGCGACGCCGCGUGGGUGACGAAGGCCUUCGGGUUGUAAAGCCCUUUUGCCGGGGACGAUGAUGACGGUACCCGGAGAAGAAGCACCGGCUAACUCCGUGCCAGCAGCCGCCGUAAUAC
rnacentral:rRNA from 1 species